rnacentral:rRNA from 1 species
GGAUUAGAUACCCUGGUAGUCCUAGCCGUAAACGAUGUACACUUGAUGUAAUUGGACUCAACCCCAAUUGUGUCGAAGCUAACGCGAUAAGUGUACCGCCUGGAGAGUACGCUCGCAAGAGUGAAACCCAAAAGAAUUGACGGGGGCCCGCACAAGCAGUGGAGCAUGUGGUUUAAUUCGAUGCAACGCGAAGAACCUUACCUAGGCUGAAACUUAAGAGGACCGCACUGGAGACAGUGUUUUCCGCAAGGACUUCUUGAGAGGUGCUGCAUGGCUGUCGUCAGCUCGUGUCG